AGGGCCAUCUGGCCCUUCCCAAAGAAAGAACAAAAAAAUAAAAUAAUAAAAAGAAAUAAAAAGAAGAAGAUAAAGUGUGAGGCAGCGCCUCACUUGGAAAAAAAAAGAAAAGAAAAAGAAAAAGAAAACUAAGAAGGAAAGAGGCAGUGUGGUCGAGAGAGGAGAUAAGGGGGAGAGAGGGAGAUUUCUCAAUAUACAAAAGUUGUGAUCUACGAAGAUCCAACCGUCCAAAUUCAAAUCCGACUUCGGUAACGUGAUCUACAAAGUCCGAUCUACGUUUCUACCGAUCAUUUUGAGGUAAUGGAUUACUUGGAACUUGUUUGAGGCUACCCAAACCAUGAGUUUUGGUUUGGUGAAAUUUUGUAAUGCAUUGUAUGGUGGUGUCUAGGAGACCUAGUGCUUAAUAUCCGCGUAGCCAGGUGAGUAUUCUACUCACUGAGAAAAGAUAUUUUUCGUAUUUUAUAGAAAUGCAAAUGAUAGAUGAUUUUCUACUGAACCAACGAUAUGUUAACAUGUAUGCUUUGGAUGUUUUAAGUAGUUUCAAUUAUGUUGAAAUAUCAAUGAUGUUAUGAAAUGAUACAUAAAUGAAAUGUUUGAAUUGAUUUAAAGUGUCUGAAUAUGUACUGCAAUUAUGCAAAGAAAAAUAAAGAAAACUUCAUGUUGAUUGGUUCAUUGUAUUUGAAGAGAGCAUGAUUUGCAAAGAAUAGGAGUAUAGAGUUAGAAUUGUAAAGCAUAGAGCAUGAGGCCCAUAAUAAAGAAGAGAGCGUGAGGCUCAUAAUAAAGAAGAGAGCGUGAGGCUCAUAAUAAAGAAGAGAGCGUGAGGCUCAUAAUAAUGAAGAGAGCGUGAGGCUCAUAAUAAUGAAGAGAGCGUGAGGCUCAUAAUAAAGAAGAGAGCGUGAGGCUCAUAAUAAUGAAGAGAGCGUGAGGCUCAUAAUGAACAAAAAGACUAUCAUGAGCAUGCAUAGCAUUGUUUAAAUUGUGUGAUGUUUUCAUGAUAAGUAUAUUGUAGUUUUGCUAGACGUAUUAGUAUGCAUAAAAGUCUUGAUAGAAAAAGAAUUUAUGUAUAUUGGUAUCGGAUGGUUGCAUGAUUUAAACGUAGUUUUGCUAGACGUAUUAGUAUACAUAAAAGUCUUGAUAGAAAAAGAAUUUAUGUAUAUUGGUAUCGGAUGGAUGCAUGAUUUAAAUGUAGUUUUGCUAGACGUAUUAGUAUGCAUAAAAGUCUUGAUAGAAAAAGAAUUUAUGUAUAUUGGUAUCGGAUGGUUGCAUGAUUAAAUGUCAUUGUGUUCUAUAACGAAUCUUUUUCGUAUAAUGCUAGCUACCCACAGUAUUUAAAUGUUUUCUAUUAGUCGGUGUUUGUUAUAUCAGCUAUGGGGGUUUUUCAAACAAAAGUUUAUAAAAUUGGUAGCUGUUAUAGUGUACGCACGACUAAAAAUGAAAAGUUGGUUCUUUGCGAAAACUCAGUGAAUAGUAUACUGCUGAGGUCUUAGUGUAUUUAUUUAUGCUAAGAUGGUAUCAGAGCAGUUAGUCCUAGGGUUGGUUAGAAAAGCGGAAAGCGGAAACUUAGGGUUGCGUCAGAGUCUAAUAAUAACAAAAGAGCCAUAGGAAAUCUUAAAAGCUUUAACAAAGAUAGAAAAUUAAAAUGUAGUACUCCAUAUGCAUUACAUAGAUUUUGUAAUGCAUAUUAUUUGAUUUACGUGUAGUUAGUUUACCUCUCACUUUCACAUUGUAGGUUAACUUUAAUGUGAUCGUGUAGAGUAUAUCGCUUAGAUAAGAAACGGUUUAGAAUAAGCUUCUUAGGUGCAUUGUAUGGGUAUGGUGAUGCAUGAAAUCUUUUUACGUAGUAUUGUCUAUGUAGCAUUUCAUUAUAUGGACAAGUAAGGCCGCCAAGACAAGCAUUGUCGAUACGCAAUGAGGAAGAGGAUUCCUCAAUGAUUGAUUGAGGUAGGAGUGAUUUUAGGCGCCAUUGGGAGCUCAUGCUUCCUCACUGCCGAAGAAGCAACUUAUUGGUUGUGGCUCUAAGUUCCUUGGAUAAGAAGGUGCCUCUGCGAGCCGCUUCGAUGUCACGCUGUGCACCAAUUGUGGGAAGCCACGCUUUGGUGUAUGUGUCAUGUUGAAUCACGGGUAUGCUUUCGAUGUAGUAGAUUUGGCCACCUUAUAAAGCUAUGUCCCUCGUUAGCUGCUUUGACUCAAGCAACUCUUGCGUUGCCCAGUGUAGUGUGUGGGGUGCUACACUUGGAUGUAUAUCGAGAAAGAUCUAAGGCAUAUUGUAAAUAUGGUUGAGAAGACCAUUCCACGAGUAGUCGCCAACUUGUCGCCGCCAAAGUCGAAUACCUUUAGCGGGCAAUUAUCAACCAAGACAGUUUGCUCAAGUAAGGUGUGCCCACUCACACCGAGCAAUGCUGAAGUCCGUCCAACCAUCGCAAAUGUUGUUAAUGCUACCAUAGGUAUUAUACCUAUAUGUUGUAGCAUUGUGUACAUUUGACUUAUUGGAGUUUUAUCCAUUCGUAUGUCUCACUAUGCAUUGUUACAUGCAUAAUGGGCACCAAACCUUUAAAAUUAAUGUGCGUGACCAUUUCUAUUGGUGACGCAUUUGUCAACAGUAAAUAUGGAAGUCAUUGCCUUAGCACGAUAUGGGUGAUAACAUUGUUAACUCUAGUUUUUGACAUGAUGAGCUGCAGUGUCUAACUCAUUUAGUUCGAUAUGUUAAGUAGUUCACCCUUGUCUCAUUUGUAUUGUAAGCGAUGCAAAUUGAGCAUUCAACCCUUAGAUUAGAACUUAUGAGUGGCCACUCAUAUAGAUGACGCCUUUGCUUAUAAGGAGCAUGUGAACAAGUGUGCCAUAGGUAUUAGAGAAAAGACUCUGCCAGCAAAGCUAGCAGUGUUAUGUGUGUAGAGUUCUAAUGUUAGCAAACUUAGCUUCAACAUGUAAUAUGUUGAUUUUUAAUGCCAUGCAUAUAGAAUUUUGGUGUUCAACAUGUUAAAUAAUAAAACUUACCAUGUUGAAUACAAUAUUAACUCGUUAGGGUUUUGGUACCAAAUUGGAAUGGAUUGAUGAUCAAAGAGUAGAAGUGAACGUAGAUAAUCACAAGUGGGUAAUUUUAUUUCUACCCUAUAGUAUAAAGAGUACGAACUUUGCGGGUCUUGUUUGCGAGUUACUCCGCAAUUCCUCUUCGAUGUUCAACAAUGAUGAAUGUCCGAGAGUGUACACUUGUGUGCUUGGCUUAUGUCUAAGCCAAGCUCAUAUCAAGUCCUAGUUGGGAAUAUCCGGAUAGUGUUGACGUUUCCACUUGGGUUGCAAGUCUAUACGAGGAUGCAUAAAUUAUUGUGUAUUAAACCGAGUGACAAUCAAUCGAGAGUAUUCCUUAUUGAGAACUGACAACUUGUUCAGUCAACUCUAAGGAGCCUCGGUAUUCUUGGGGAUUGACUUUCUUCCGAGAUGCCAUUGACUUUUGGUACGAAAGGUAAUGUGCCAAAGUCAGCAAUCCAUAUAUGGUAUGACCAUUAUGAAUUUUUGGUGAUGCCAUUUGGAUUGGCAAAUACACCGUUGGUAUUUAUGGACUUGAUGAAUAAAGCGUUCCAUGGAUACCUUGACGUCUGAGUAGCUGAGUGUACCAACGACACUUUAUUCUAUUCGACUAGUCGUGUCGAGUAUGGAAGACAUUUGGUAUUAGUGUUGGAAGUGUUUAGUAAAAGGGAUUCUUCUCCAAGUUCAUGAGAUGUGAGCUUGGGUUGAGGAAGUGUCAUUCUUGGUUUACGUAAUGAACGAAAAUGGACUCCUAGUCAAUACGUUAGAAAGUGAACGCACAGUUGUUCUUGUGCUUAACUACCCAUAAAAUUUUUGGAUAUGUGGCUUGCACAGAUACAUCACAAUAGGUGGGGAUGCACCCUUGUAUAAUAACAUGGAUAUAGCUUAUGCUACUUAUCAAUUGUGGAUCAUGAGUAUCGUUAUUCUUCUCAUGAUUCAUAGUCAGUAAUCAUUGUCUAUGUCCUACCAUUUUGUGAGCAAUGCACUCCGGUGUUAAGAGAUGGAGACAUGAGGUAACGUUGAUGGCAAGAUUGAUUCAAAGUGUAAUAGGAGUGUUAGUUCAACGUACCUUCCGCGGGCGAGCAGUUGAUCCAAGAGGGCUAUUUAGAUACUUAAGGGUAUGCCUAAGUUGUGCGUGUGGAAAUUUAUAAAGUCGGAUAUAAUACUCGCCAUUGGUUGUGACUACUAGUUAUGGUAGUUUACAACUAUUAACGUUUUAUCGCACGUAACGUCGUAAGGACGCAAAGAGGAACGCCAAUUCAUUUGGCAUGAAGUUGGUGUGAGACGAUUAGUGACCUUUGAAGUGGUGCAUGAUUCUAGGGAAGAUUGCACUCGUUCAAAGUAGAUAUUCACUACAUAGUGAUGGUAAGCUAUGUGGAUAAACAUCGUCGCAAUUUUGUGUUUCAAAUUGGCGAUCUUGUGAAAUGCAAGGUGUCGCCAAUGCGAAACAUGUAACGCUUUGGACAAUAUGGAUGUGCUCAAUUUUAGGUAUGUUGAGUCAUCCCUUGUGCAAAACGUAUGUCCAUCACAUAAUCGGUCGUGAUGUCUCCUAAUCUUAGCAGCCAUUCAUGACAUUUUCCUGUAUUUCUUCGUUGUGAACGUGUUUGUGACCUUAUGCUUGUGAUGUGCUUCUUGGUAUUCGAUAGAAAUUGACCUAUAAAGAAUAGUAAAACGAGCUAUGGUUUGUAAGAAAACACAAAACUUGUUUCGUUAGUUCGAACUCUGUGGUGAAACCAUGAUGUUGAGGAAGCCACACGAGUGCUUGAUUGUUAGAUGUGGGAGCGAUUCCCCAUUUUAGCGAAUAAAUCCAGGUAUGAUUGUUAUGUCAUACAAUUUUUGCGUAAGUACUCCAUGUAAAACGCAUACGUGCAUGGAUAUUUUUAAUGUAGAACGCAUGCUCGUAUGUGUGUAAAGUGAAUUGAUGUCCAAAUUUCGAGGACGAAUUUUUUAUAAGGAGGGAGGGAUGUAAUGUCAGGGGCAUUAUUUAAUAAUUAGAGUAUAAAAUCUGAGUAAAAUGAUUAAUUAAAAUUAUUUUAGUGUCAUUAAAAAUGCAAAUGAAUAUUUUUAAAGUCCAAAUAAAAUAGAAAUUAUAGAAAAGAAAUUGGAAAUGAAAAAUAAAUAUAAAAGAAAUUAAUGAAUAAAAUAAAAUAAAGAAAAUAAAAGAAUUAAAGAAUUUAAAAUAGAAAUAAGAAAAUAAAAGAAAUAGAAUAAAAAUAAUAAAAAUAAAAUUAAAAGAGAAAAGAAAUAGAAAAUAUAUAUAUAUAUAUAUAAAGAAGAAAGAAGGAAUUAAAAAUUAAAAAAA